rnacentral:rRNA from 1 species
CACGAACCGUACGAACGUUAUUCGGAAUUACUGGGCUUAAAGGGUUUGUAGGCGGCCAUGUAAGUCAGGUGUGAAAUCCCUCGGCUCAACCGUGGAACUGCCCGGCAUACUGCGAUGCUAGAGUGUGGUAGGGGAGAGCGGAACUCCUGGUGGAGCGGUGAAAUGCGUAGAUAUCAGGAGGAACACCGGUGGCGAAGGCGGCUCUCUGGUCCACAACUGACGCUGAGGUGCGAAAGCUAGGGGAGCAAACGGG